CACAAGAAUUAUUCUUCUCUUAUACCUAUGCAAUCGUUCCCGUUCAUUCGUUCGCUCGUUCGUUCGUUCGUGUUUCGCUAUAGGGGAAAAAAUCAACGGGGGGAUGAACGAGGGGUAUCACUGGGGUGAACAGAGAUACAAGGAUAUGAAGAGGGAAUGAUAGGGGUUAGAGAAAGAGAAACAAGGAUACGAAGUGGGGAUGAUAAGGGGUUAGAGAGAGAGAGAAACAAGGAUACGAAGAGGGGAUGAUAGGGGUAAGAGUGUGUGAGAGAGAGAGAGAGAAACAAGGAUAUGAAGAGGGGAUGAUUGGGGCGACACCUGGUGGCGCCAGGUCGAUAUGGGUUUUACCUGUAUCACCACUCCACCAUCCCACGACUAGCAACGCCUUGUUCUUUCUUCUCGCAUACACACACACACGCGCUAUAUAUAUACACGUACAUAUAUAUACACAUAUACACGCACACGCACACUAAGUUGGUAUCGUACGUAACAUUAUGUAUCGAUAUCUCACUCUUUCUCUUCUGGACUCGAACAGAAUGGGUUAUCCGUCGCGAUUAAGAGAGGACGAUUUUUCCAACGGGAUUGGGGAAGGGGAAAUAAAUACAUCGUAAAUUGUCGAGGAAAGGCAUUGAAAUCGUGAAGAAAUGACGACGAGUAGAGGAGCCCUGGCAGACUUGCUGGGUGGCUUUGGUCGUGGCUAAACAUCGAGCGAAAUGACGUCGUUAAACGGCAAGGGGAAGGAAAAAAAUGGAGAUAUAACAGACGGAAAGUAAGAGAGAGAG
rnacentral:lncRNA from 1 species